AUGCUUUAUCACUGUUGGGCGAGAGGGAUCUUAAAGCUUCAACUAAAGAGAGAUCAUGGCCCUCCAGUUUCUCAAUUACAGCUUGCUCGUUUAAGAGGAGCCUGAGCUCAAUCCAUUGCCAAUGAAACUUGGCAGGCUGCAAGGUAUCCAAAAUGUAUACGAGCUUAUCCAGAAGUUUUGUCUCAUUUUCAGCACCAUGAAGCUUUGACUCUGUGAAACUUGGCCGGCUGCAAGGUAUCCAAAAUGUAUACGAGCUUAUCCAGAAGUUUUGUCUCAUUUUCAGCACCAUGAAACUUUGACUCUCCUUGUACUCCCACCUGAUUUCCAUAAUCCUGUUUAACAAUUGGUUGAGGUAUUCUACAAUCAAUAAGGGCAUUU
rnacentral:lncRNA from 1 species